GCUAUGUGGUACAGUGGAUAGAAUAUUGGAUUUGGAAUCCAGAAGCUUCAAGUUCAAAUCCUGCCUCAGACA
rnacentral:tRNA from 1 species